rnacentral:ncRNA from 1 species
GACAGGGGCUUUACAUCUGCCAAAUGGUAACUAACGCAGGUGUCCUAAGGCGAGCUCAGCGAGGACUGCAACCUCGCGUAGAGCAAAAGGACACGAGUUUUUGUGACCACGUGCACGCGCACAAUGG